CGAUACUUUUUGAACAGACCUUGUAUACAAAUAACUUGUUGAAUAUCUCAGAAGAUAUUUCUCAAACGUAUAUUAACGACGUAGAUUAAGUUCUUUAUUCCGAUUGGACGAAUUAGACUAUAUCACUUCCAAAUUAUACACUUCCUUUCGCAUUUUUCAAUAUAAAUAAAUAAG